CUUAGGCACCAGAACUACAGGCGAGGCCCAAGGACUGUCUGAGUGUUCGAUAACCCCCAGCCUGGUCAUCUCCUGUAUCUCCGUCCGCAUUCCUUCUCGGACUGCUUCCGGGAUACGGUACGGGGGUUGUCGUAGGGGGUUCUGUCCGGGUGUCUCGACCUUGUGUACAGCUAGGGUAGUGUACCCGGGUUCUUGGGAGAACGUCGCCUGCUUCUCC